UACAGAGGGGGUAAGCGUUGUUCGGAAUUACUGGGCGUAAAGGGCGCGUAGGCGGCCUGUUAAGUCGAACGUGAAAUCCCCGGGCUCAACCCGGGAACUGCGUCCGAUACUGGCAGGCUUGAAUCCGGGAGAGGGAUGCGGAAUUCCAGGUGUAGCGGUGAAAUGCGUAGAUAUCUGGAGGAACACCGGUGGCGAAGGCGGCAUCCUGGACCGGCAUUGACGCUGAGGCGCGAAAGCCAGGGGAGCAAACGGG
rnacentral:rRNA from 1 species